AGCGCGAAACGUAGCAAUACGUGGAGAGCGGCGAAAGGGAGAGUAAUACGUAGGUACCUGCCCUCGGGUCUGGGAUAGCCAUGCUAACGCGUGGGUAAUACCAGAUAAUGUCUCCGGACCAAAGGUUUACCACCUGGGGAGGGGCCUGCGGCCUAUCAGCUUGUUGGCGAGGUAAUGGCUCACCAAGGCUAAAACGGGUAUGGGGCGUGAGAGCGUGCCCCCACUCACUGGGACUGAGAACUGCCCAGACACCUACGGGUGGCUGCAGUCGAGAAUCUUCGGCAAUGGGCGCAAGCCUGACCGAGCGAUGCCGCGUGCGGGAUGAAGGCUUUCGGGUUGUAAACCGCUGUCGUAGGGGAGCAAGGCGUAAGCUUGAGCGAUCCUAGGAGGAAGGACCGGCUAAGUCUGUGCCAGCAGCCGCGGUAAUACAGACGGUCCAAACGUUAUUCGGAAUUACUGGGCUUAAAGAGUUCGUAGGCGGUCAAGAAAGUGGGGUGUGAAAGCCCUCGGCUCAACCGAGG
rnacentral:rRNA from 1 species